AUUGAACGCUGGCGGCAGGCCUAACACAUGCAAGUCGAGCGGAUGAAGGGAGCUUGCUCCUGGAUUCAGCGGCGGACGGGUGAGUAAUGCCUAGGAAUCUGCCUGGUAGUGGGGGAUAACGUCCGGAAACGGGCGCUAAUACCGCAUCCGUCCUGAGGGAGAAAGUGGGGGAUCUUCGGACCUCACGCUAUCAGAUGAGCCUAGGUCGGAUUAGCUAGUUGGUGGGGUAAAGGCCUACCAAGGCGACGAUCCGUAACUGGUCUGAGAGGAUGAUCAGUCACACUGGAACUGAGACACGGUCCAGACUCCUACGGGAGGCAGCAGUGGGGAAUAUUGGACAAUGGGCGAAAGCCUGAUCCAGCCAUGCCGCGUGUGUGAAGAAGGUCUUCGGAUUGUAAAGCACUUUAAGUUGGGAGGAAGGGCAGUAAGUUAAUACCUUGCUGUUUUGACGGUACCAACAGAAUAAGCACCGGCUAACUUCGUG
rnacentral:rRNA from 1 species